rnacentral:sRNA from 1 species
AUUUUAUUCUUGUUAUUUUGUGUUUUUGGAAAGAUUGCAUAAACACUCUUCACUGUAGAUUUAUUGUGACUUUUUCUCCCGUUGAUUUUAAGAGUGAUUAUGGUGGUUGUACCUUGUUUCAAAGCUCACCACGGGGAGAGCUGUCAAUCUAUCUUUGAGUCCUAAGGCUAGUCUUGUACUUUGACAGAGCUAAACUCCAUCUUUUUGACCCACACUGUAGGGUGUUUUUUCAAAGCCUCUUGUCUCAAAAUCCCCCAUUAAAUGGGUUGGCAUUGAAUUAGGGCCUUGACCCCCAAAACUUAUGCUCACAACCUUCUUCAACUACCACUAGUGGAGCUCGUCAGCAGCUGGAGCUUGAUAGCAACACACGCGGUGGAGCUCGACAGCAACAUUCGACACCAGUACACGGUGGUAUAAGCGUUGCAACGUCGAUCGAGGAGAAUUUUUAAGUAUGUAGUGAAGAGGUAGUUGUUGCAUCCAGACACCUGUUUCUAUGCCUGGUGAGCCCAUAGACAUCAUGACUUGUGCUGAGAAAAUCUCUUACUUACAAUGGUCUUACAAGAGGUCUUCAAGAAAGUGUUAACAUCAUUGAGAAGUCUGUUGCACAACACUCCCUCUUAAUUAUGUUAUCCCUAGGUAAUAGUUUUAGAUCUAUUUGGAGUCAUUGCUAGAGGAGUUGUUGUAUGUGUUGCACUGUCUCUUGCCAAAUCUAUCAAAGUUGCAUAUAUGUUUCUUCCAUUUGAUAUCACGGAGGAUAUUGACAAUUUGAAUGUGGAUCAUUUUUCUCAAUGAUUGGACUCAAAGUAGAAAUUGGAAUAUUUUAUUUUAUUUGGUGCACUAUGAACAAUGUGUUUUAUUUUAUAUUUAUGAUAUGGAUUCCCGAUUUAUU